rnacentral:rRNA from 1 species
AAAGCCUGAUGGAGCAAUGCCGCGUGACUGAAGACGGUCUUCGGAUUGUAAAGGUCUGUUGUAAGGGAAGAACAGUAAGUAUAGGAAAUGAUACUUAUUUGACGGUACCUUACCAGAAAGCCACGGCUAACUAUGUGCCAGCAGCCGCGGUAAUACAUAGGUGGCAAGCGUUAUCCGGAUUUAUUGGGCGUAAAGCGUGCGCAGACGGUUUAACAAGUUUGGGGUCAAAUCCUGGAGCUUAACUCCAGUUCGCCUUGAAAACUGUUAAACUAGAGUGUAGGAGAGGUCGAUGGAAUUCCAUGUGUAGCGGUGAAAUGCGUAGAUAUAUGGAGGAACACCAGUGGCGAAGGCGGUCGACUGGCCUAUCACUGACGUUUAGGCACG